GGAGGGAUGGCCGAGUGGCUGAAGGCGGCGGUCUUGAAAACCGUUUCCCGAAAGGGACGUGGGUUCGAAUCCUACUCCCUCCG
rnacentral:tRNA from 1 species